rnacentral:tRNA from 2 species
UGCCCUGUAGUGCAACUGGUAGCACGCCAGACUCUGGAUCUGGUAGUCCUGGUUCGAGUCCAGGCGGGGCAGCCA